rnacentral:rRNA from 1 species
GACGAACGCUGGCGGCGUGCUUAACACAUGCAAGUCGAGCGGGGAACUUCGGUUCUCAGCGGCGGACGGGUGAGUAACACGUGGGUAACCUGCCUUACAGUGGGGAAUAGCCUUCCGAAAGGAAGAUUAAUACCGCAUAAUACUCAGAGAUCACAUGGUCUUUGAGCCAAAGGAAUUUAUUUCGCUGUAAGAUGGACCCGCGGCGCAUUAGCUUGUUGGUGAGGUAACGGCUCACCAAGGCUUCGAUGCGUAGCCGACCUGAGAGGGUGAUCGGCCACAUUGGAACUGAGACACGGUCCAGACUCCUACGGGUG